rnacentral:rRNA from 1 species
GAGUUUGAUCAUGGCUCAGAUUGAACGCUGGCGGCAUGCCUUACACAUGCAAGUCGAACGGCAGCAUGAUCUAGCUUGCUAGAUUGAUGGCGAGUGGCGAACGGGUGAGUAAUACAUCGGAACGUGCCCUGUAGUGGGGGAUAACUAGUCGAAAGAUUAGCUAAUACCGCAUACGACCUGAGGGUGAAAGUGGGGGACCGCAAGGCCUCAUGCUAUAGGAGCGGCCGAUGUCUGAUUAGCUAGUUGGUGGGGUAAAGGCCCACCAAGGCGACGAUCAGUAGCUGGUCUGAGAGGACGAUCAGCCACACUGGGACUGAGACACGGCCCAGACUCCUACGGGAGGCAGCAGUGGGGAAUUUUGGACAAUGGGCGAAAGCCUGAUCCAGCAAUGCCGCGUGUGUGAAGAAGGCCUUCAGGUUGUAAAG